UGUAAUGUGUUAUAGUAGGUGCCGGCAGCUUAAGUCAUACAACAAGGAUCAAAGUUGAUUCUAGGAAUCUCCCUGUUCAGGAAGGGAGGGGAUGUAUCCAGGUGAUUCCAUGUCGUGGAGGGGAUGUAUCCAGGUGAUUCCAUGUCGUGGAGGGGAUGUAUCCAGAUUGAAAGCCAACAAACUGCUGGAGAAAGGGAAACCUGUUGUAGUUGACCUUCUUCCAAAGUUGUGAGACUGUGAUCACUUUUUCCGUAGCAGAGAGGGGACUUUGUGAAAGAUGCGUUAUGUGUAUUUUUUCAUGGCUAAAUAAUCAAACAUUUAAGAGAAUCGAUUUUUCAGAAGCGUCACGUUCCAGAUUGUUGCUACUUAGGCUGCCCAAUUCUAAUCUUUUUUUCCACUAAUUGGUAUUUUGACCAAUCACAUUAGAUCUUUUCACAUCAGAUCUUUUUCAGAGCGGAUUUGAUUGGUCAAUCAACCAAAGAGUGAAAACAAGAUCAGAAUUGGACUGUCUGUGUAAACGCAGCCUUAGGCUCUUGGUUAAUGAAUCAGGUCCCUGUAUAUACGUUCCAUCUGAGUCUAAUACAGUAUAUUUUACACACCCUGCUGAGUUGUCUUUACCUAAUGCAAUUUAAACUAACAAGCAGCUAAAUUAUCCACUUGAUUAAUACCCUAUUAUACCUGAAUGUAGAGAUUGCCUUUUGAAUGAUUUAAUUGUUUGGUUUGAUCAGUGGGACCUUGAAGGCAUUUGUUAUUGUGAGAAAAGCUCUCUUCAAUGGCAAAAUAAAAGACAUUUGAUUGUGAAUGUUUUAUAUUUGUAAUAUUGGACAAAAACAAAUAGUUUAGCUUGAUUUGCAUAAUAAUGACAUCA
rnacentral:lncRNA from 1 species